rnacentral:rRNA from 1 species
GAUGAACGCUGGCGGCGUGCCUAAUACAUGCAAGUCGAGCGAACAGACGAGGAGCUUGCUCCUCUGACGUUAGCGGCGGACGGGUGAGUAACACGUGUAUAACCUACCUAUAAGACUGGGAUAACUUCGGGAAACCGGAUCUAAUACCGGAUAAUAUAUUGAACCGCAUGGUUCAAUAGUGAAAGACGGUUUUGCUGUCACUUAUAGCUGGAUACGCGCCGCAUUAGCUAGUUGUUAAGUUAACGGCUUACCAAGGCAACGAUGCGUAGCCGAACUGAGAGGGUGAUCGGCCACACUGGAAGUGAGCCACGGUCAAGACUCCUACGGGAGGCAGCAGUAGGGAAUCUUACGCAGUGGGCGAAAGCAUGACGGAGCAACGCGGCGUGAGUGAUGAAGGUCCUGGGAUCGUAAAAAUCUGUUAUUAGGGAAGAACAAAUGUGUAAGUAAAUAUGCACGUCUUGACGGUACCUAAUAAGAAAGCCACGGCUAACUACGUG